rnacentral:rRNA from 1 species
UACGGGUGGGGCAAGCGUUGUUCGGAAUUACUGGGCGUAAAGGGUUCGUAGGUGGCUUGUUAAGUCAGACGUGAAAUCCCUCGGCUCAACCGGGGAACUGCGUCUGAGACUGAUGAGCUUGAGUGCAGGAGAGGAACGCGGAAUUCCAGGUGUAGCGGUGAAAUGCGUAGAUAUCAGGAGGAACACCGAUGGCGAAGGCAGGUCUCUGGGCAUUAACUGACGCUGAGGAGCGAAAGCAUGGGGAGCGAACAGG